CCUUUCGAAAGAAAGAUUAAUACCUGAUAGUAUCUUAAGCACACAUGUAAUUAAGAUUAAAGAUUUAUCGGUGUACGAUGGGGAUGCGUUCCAUUAGGUAGUAGGCGGGGUAACGGCCCACCUAGCCAACGAUGGAUAGGGGUUCUGAGAGGAAGGUCCCCCACAUUGGAACUGAGACACGGUCCAAACUCCUACGGGAGGCAGCAGUGAGGAAUAUUGGUCAAUGGACGAGAGUCUGAACCAGCCAAGUAGCGUGAAGGAUGAAGGUCCUACGGAUUGUAAACUUCUUUUAUAAGGGAAUAAACCCUCCCACGUGUGGGAGCUUGUAUGUACCUUAUGAAUAAGCAUCGGCUAACUCCGUGCCAGCAGCCGCGGUAAUACGGAGGAUGCGAGCGUUAUCCGGAUUUAUUGGGUUUAAAGGGAGCGCAGACGGGUCGUUAAGUCAGCUGUGAAAGUUUGGGGCUCAACCUUAAAAUUGCAGUUGAUACUGGCGUCCUUGAGUGCGGUUGAGGUGUGCGGAAUUCGUGGUGUAGCGGUGAAAUGCUUAGAUAUCACGAAGAACUCCGAUUGCGAAGGCAGCACACUAAUCCGUAACUGACGUUCAUGCUCGAAAGUGUGGGUAUCAAACAGGAUUAGAUACCGUGGUAGU
rnacentral:rRNA from 1 species